UUUUAUUUGAGAGUUUGAUCCUGGCUCAGGAUGAACGCUGGCGGCGUGCCUAACACAUGCAAGUUGAGCGAUUUACUUCGGUAAAGAGCGGCGGACGGGUGAGUAACGCGUGGGUAACCUACCCUGUACACACGGAUAACAUACCGAAAGGUAUGCUAAUACGGGAUAAUAUAUUUGAGAGGCAUCUCUUGAAUAUCAAAGGUGAGCCAGUACAGGAUGGACCCGCGUCUGAUUAGCUAGUUGGUAAGGUAACGGCUUACCAAGGCGACGAUCAGUAGCCGACCUGAGAGGGUGAUCGGCCACAUUGGAACUGAGACACGGUCCAAACUCCUACGGG
rnacentral:rRNA from 1 species